rnacentral:RNase_P_RNA from 1 species
GAGGAAAGUCCGGGCUCCAUAGGGCAAGGUGCCAGGUAACGCCUGGGGGGCGAGAGCCUACGACCAGUGCAACAGAGAGCAAACCGCCGAUGGCCCACGCAAGUGGGAUCAGGUAAGGGUGAAAGGGUGCGGUAAGAGCGCACCGCGCGGCUGGUAACAGUCCGUGGCACGGUAAACUCCACCCGGAGCAAGGCCAAAUAGGGGUUCAUAAGGUACGGCCCGUACUGAACCCGGGUAGGCUGCUUGAGCCAGUGAGCGAUUGCUGGCCUAGAUGAAUGACUGUCCACGACAGAACCCGGCUUA